GACGAACCGAGCGAACGUUGUUCGGAAUCACUGGGCUUAAAGGGCGCGUAGGCGGGCUGCCGCGUCCGGGGUGAAAUCCCACGGCUCAACCGUGGAACGGCCCCGGGUACGGGCGGCCUCGAGGGGGGUAGGGGCGUGCGGAACUGUGGGUGGAGCGGUGAAAUGCGUUGAGAUCCACAGGAACUCCGGUGGCGAAGGCGGCACGCUGGACCCCCACUGACGCUGAGGCGCGAAAGCCAGGGGAGCGAACGGG
rnacentral:rRNA from 1 species